AGUGAACGCUGGCGGUAGGCCUAACACAUGCAAGUCGAACGGCAGCACAGUAAGAGCUUGCUCUUACGGGUGGCGAGUGGCGGACGGGUGAGGAAUACAUCGGAAUCUACUUUUUCGUGGGGGAUAACGUAGGGAAACUUACGCUAAUACCGCAUACGACCUACGGGUGAAAGCAGGGGAUCUUCGGACCUUGCGCGUUUGAAUGAGCCGAUGUCGGAUUAGCUAGUUGGCGGGGUAAAGGCCCACCAAGGCGACGAUCCGUAGCUGGUCUGAGAGGAUGAGCAGCCACACUGGAACUGAGACACGGUCCAGACUCCUACGGGAGGCAGCAGUGGGGAAUAUUGGACAAUGGGCGCAAGCCUGAUCCAGCCAUACCGCGUGGGUGAAGAAGGCCUUCGGGUUGUAAAGCCCUUUUGUUGGGAAAGAAAAGCAGCAGGUUAAUACCCCGCUGUUCUGACGGUACCAAAAGAAUAAGCACCGGCUAACUUCGUG
rnacentral:rRNA from 1 species